rnacentral:rRNA from 1 species
UACGGAGGGUGCGAGCGUUAUCCGGAAUUACUGGGUUUAAAGGGUGCGUAGGCGGCCCUGUAAGUCAGGUGUGAAAGUUUGCGGCUCAACCGUAAAAUUGCUUUUGAUACUGCGGGGCUAGAAUUAGGAUGAGGUCAGCGGAAUGUGGCAUGUAGCGGUGAAAUGCAUAGAUAUGCCAUAGAACACCAAUUGCGAAGGCAGCUGGCUAGACCUGGAUUGACGCUGAGGCACGAAAGCGUGGGGAGCGAACAGG